rnacentral:rRNA from 1 species
AGUGAACGCUGGCGGUAGGCCUAACACAUGCAAGUCGAACGGCAGCACAGUAAGAGCUUGCUCUUACGGGUGGCGAGUGGCGGACGGGUGAGGAAUACAUCGGAAUCUACUUUUUCGUGGGGGAUAACGUAGGGAAACUUACGCUAAUACCGCAUACGACCUACGGGUGAAAGCAUGGGAUCUUCGGACCUUGCGCGAUUGAAUGAGCCGAUGUCGGAUUAGCUAGUUGGCGGGGUAAAGGCCCACCAAGGCGACGAUCCGUAGCUGGUCUGAGAGGAUGAUCAGCCACACUGGAACGGAGACACGGUCCAGACGCCUAAGGGAGGCAGCAGUGGGGAAAAUUGGACAAUGGGCGCAAGCCUGAUCAAGACAUACCGAGUGGGUGAAGAAGGCCUUCGGGUUGUAAAGCCCUUUUGUUGGGAAAGAAAAGCAGCAGGUUAAUACCCAGCUGUUCUGACGGUAAACAAAGAAUAAGCACCGGCUAAAUUAGUG